CUUUCUCUCUCUCUCUCUCUCUCUCUCUCUCUCUCUCUCUCUCUCUGUGUGUGUGUGUGUGUGUGUGUGUGUGUGAGAGAGAGAGAGAGAGAGAGAGAGAGGAGG